rnacentral:rRNA from 1 species
ACAGCAGUAGCCGCGGGAAUACGAAGGGGGCUAGCGUUGUUCGGAAUUACUGGGCGUAAAGCGCACGUAGGCGGAUAUUUAAGUCAGGGGUGAAAUCCCAGAGCUCAACUCUGGAACUGCCUUUGAUACUGGGUAUCUUGAGUAUGGAAGAGGUGAGUGGAAUUCCGAGUGUAGAGGUGAAAUUCGUAGAUAUUCGGAGGAACACCAGUGGCGAAGGCGGCUCACUGGUCCAUUACUGACGCUGAGGUGCGAAAGCGUGGGGAGCAAACAGGAUUAGAUACCCCCGUAGUCCCUGUCUCUUAUAC